GCCUGGGUUCUGUCUGAUAUGUUUGAUAUUAGGUUGUUUGAUUGAAAAUCGACUAAAUAUCAUACAUAUUGCUACAGCGCCUUGGU
rnacentral:pre_miRNA from 1 species